rnacentral:rRNA from 1 species
GACGGAGGGUGCUAGCGUUGUUCGGAAUGACUGGGCGUAAAGGGCGCGUAGGCGGCUCGUGAAGUCGGGUGUGAAAGCCCGGGGCUCAACCCCGGAACGGCAUCCGAUACUGGCGGGCUUGAGACCGGGAGAGGAGGGUGGAAUACCCAGUGUAGAGGUGAAAUUCGUAGAUAUUCGCAAGAACACCAGUGGCGAAGGCGGCUCACUGGCCCGAUACUGACGCUGAGGCACGAAAGCGUGGGGAGCAAACAGG